rnacentral:rRNA from 1 species
UGGGGAAUUUUGGACAAUGGGGGAAACCCUGAUCCAGCCAUCCCGCGUGUGCGAUGAAGGCCUUCGGGUUGUAAAGCACUUUUGGCAGGAAAGAAACGUCGCGGGUUAAUACCCCGCGAAACUGACGGUACCUGCAGAAUAAGCACCGGCUAACUACGUGCCAGCAGCCGCGGUAAUACGUAGGGUGCAAGCGUUAAUCGGAAUUACUGGGCGUAAAGCGUGCGCAGGCGGUUCGGAAAGAAAGAUGUGAAAUCCCAGAGCUUAACUUUGGAACUGCAUUUUUAACUACCGGGCUAGAGUGUGUCAGAGGGAGGUGGAAUUCCGCGUGUAGCAGUGAAAUGCGUAGAUAUGCGGAGGAACACCGAUGGCGAAGGCAGCCUCCUGGGAUAACACUGACGCUCAUGCACGAAAGCGUGGGGAGCAAACAGGAUUAGAUACCCUGGUAGUCCACGCCCUAAACGAUGUCAACUAGCUGUUGGGGCCUUCGGGCCUUGGUAGCGCAGCUAACGCGUGAAGUUGACCACCUGGGGAGUACGGUCGCAAGAUU